rfam:Ictidomys tridecemlineatus contig112967, whole genome shotgun sequence.
UUUUUAGUACAGGUGUGUCCCAGACAGUAUUUGGGACACACUUGUGCUAAAA